rnacentral:rRNA from 1 species
CUGCUCAAUGAAUAUAAAUAUUCAUUUAUAUUAUUUAAAUAGCCGCAAUUCUGUGCUAAGGUAGCAUAAUCAUUUGCUUUUUAAUUAAAAGCUAGAAUGAAAGGUUAAACAUUUAAAUUUCUUUAUUAAAACCAAAUUUAUAAUUUAUACUAAAUAUAAAAAUAUAUUUUUUAAAAAAAAAGACGACAAGACCCUAUUAAACUUAACUUAAUGUUUAACUGGGGCAGUUAAUUAAUAAAAAUUUUAAAUUAUAAUAUAUAAAUAAAUUUCUAAUAAUAUUAAAUUUAACAAGUUACUAUAGGGAUAACAGCGUUAUAUUUUUUAAAAGUUCAUAUUUAAAAAAAUGAUUGCGACCUCGAUGUUGAAUUAUAUUUCUUUAUUAACGCAAUAGU